GAUCAACGCUGGCGGCGUGCGUAACACAUGCAAGUUGAGCGACGGUUUCCGGAAGUGGAGACAUGGAAGGGAAUACGGAGCAGCGGACGGGUGAGUAAUAUAUGAGGAGCUGUCCAUCAGAGGGGGACAACGUUUGGAAACGAACGCUAAUACCCCAUAGGCCGAAAGGUUAAAGCAGCAAUGUGCUGGUGGAGGUACUCGUAACCUAUCAAUUAGUUGGCGGGGUAACGGCCCACCAAGAUGACGACGGGUAGCCGGCCUGAGAGGGUGUCCGGCCACACUGGGACUGAGAUACGGCCCAGACUCC
rnacentral:rRNA from 1 species